AAACUUUUCUGAAUUUGUUAAAUUAUAUUGACCUAACAAUAUAUUUUUCUUUUAUUCUGAACACUUUCAUUAAUUCCUUAAGAGAACAUACUUGCUACUCCUCAAAGGAGCUUAUGGUUCCGUUGUUUGAAGUACAAUCUGCUACAUAAACAGUCUGAUUAAAACCAGUCCCUACUGCAAGUGAAUGGUGGGGCUGGUUUUAAUCAGACUGCAAAAAAGAAAGAUUACACACAAAAAACAUCAUAAAUAACAAUAAUAGCAUGGAUGUAUAAAACAUGUGAUUGCCAAGUCAUCUUUUUCUAAAAUUUGAUAGCAAAGUCAAUCUUUUCUUAAAUUUGUUCAAUUGUAUUGCAAAGUCAAAAUUUUUUUAAAUU
rnacentral:lncRNA from 1 species